rnacentral:rRNA from 1 species
UACGUAGGGUGCGAGCGUUGUCCGGAAUUACUGGGCGUAAAGAGCUCGUAGGUGGUUUGUCGCGUUGUUCGUGAAAACUCACAGCUUAACUGUGGGCGUGCGGGCGAUACGGGCAGACUGGAGUACUGCAGGGGAGACUGGAAUUCCUGGUGUAGCGGUGAAAUGCGCAGAUAUCAGGAGGAACACCGGUGGCGAAGGCGGUUCUCUGGGCAUGAUCUGACGCUGAGGAGCGAAAGUGUGGGGAGCGAACAGG